UUUUACCUUCUAGGGUUGCAGGAAGGGUCGAGUGAGACAAAAUGUAUCUUAGAAUACUAAAACCUAAUUAAAGGAAAUUUUGUGUACAUAUUUAUUACCCGUGGUAAUAAAUCAGGAUUACUAUUAAGAUUUGAUUGGCAAAUGAAAAAAAUCCAUACCCAGUCACCACCACAUAUUUUCCAUCAGGCUGGUAUUUCAGGCGCUCCAGCGCUGACAACAAAACCUUGGCCUUUGUCUCGCCAUACAGUUCUACCUCUUCAGACAGCAGACCAAUUUCUCGAGCCAAGUUACCAAUGGACUUAGGCUUGCAAGAUCGUGAUAUGUCAAUGUCACUUAAAAGAAACACAUAAAAGAAAUUUUAUUUUUACCUUGGAACAGGUGUCUUGAGGUUAAGGUUGUUAUACUGGAUCGUCCAUUUUCCAGGCCUAAAUUUCUCCAGAAAUCGCUUUGCACUCUCUACUGUGCUCUAAACAAAAUGACAUAAAUGGAACUUAGAAGAGGUAAGAAUGUACAGGCACCUAGAAUGUUUUUGGCUGCCUGCCUCUUCCCGUAUCAGCUGGUGUGCAUUCAAGAUGAUUCCCAUCCUUAUUUAACAUCUGUGUAGGUUUUAGGACAUUUCUUCUUAAGGAGAAAGGCAGCAAUGUGACUCCUAUGGAUUCUUCUUAGAACUGUCACAGAAACGCUGAUCUGCACGCACCUGCAUCAGCAUUGCCACCGUCAUGGGCCCGACACCACCAGGAACAGGAGUGAUGAAGGCUGCCCGUUCUUUGGCCUCAUUGUAUGCCACGUCACCCACAACUUUUCUCCCAUUUGGUUUUGAAUCAUCUGGUAAGAGAGGUAAAAAUCAAAGCAAUGCCUCAGACUCACAAUCUUGGUGUUCAUUUCUAAAUUAUGUGAUCAAUUACAAAAGCUUAUUCCAAAGAAUAAGAAUUUAGGGUAUGUAGUCCCAUGUGGCUCAAGUGCUUACUUUACUUAAAAGCUAUGGGAUGACAGGUAAUUUCCAUUACCUAAGGAGAUAUUUGUUUUACCUCCAAAAAUUCAUAAGCUACUUAAGUGGUUUCUCAAAACUAGGAGAAUCCUUUUGUAGUCUGUCAGGAGGCAAAUAAAAAUACCAACUGUUUUUCAUCCUUAAAGCCAACUACCCAGUAUAUAAUGAGAACCUUUUAAAAUGUUAAUUUGCAAGGCCUACAAAAGAAUUUUUUGGGUGCACAAAGCUCCAACUUAUGUCACAGCUGCCAGAUACGGUUUCUACAGCAACUGUCAGCAUUUUGUGAGCUCCAUGCAUGAGCUGGAGGAACAAUUCAACAUCUAGUUCCAAAGACGAGCAGCUACUUAAAUGUAUGCAAAAAAGCAAAGAAUAUAAUUAUACUUCCCUUAAAAGGAUACAAGAACAACUACAAAUCUUACCAGCAAAGAACAGCUAUUCAAGAGAAUAAAACCCAGUGAUGCAUCAUUGCUCACUCACACAAAAUACAUCCUACACUUAGCUUCAGUGCACUUCCGGGAGGGGCUGGGGGACUGGCUAGAACUUGCAGCUCGAAGGCUCUGGAGGCGGGAUCUGGUAGGAUCUUAGCCAUUUCACCACCUCUCUUGGUCAACUUGCCGAAACUGAGAGAGGAGUCUUAAGGGGGUAGCCCAAGAGCCAGAAUGAACAGAUGUUUGCUCUAGGAUCAGUGCUUCCACUAACUGCUAGCCUUCCCCCCAUAGGCUCCUUGCUGGUCAUUAGUCCAAAGAUGCAAAGGAUUAACACCACCUAGUUCACAAGCUUGCUGACAAGCAAGAGAGGAAAUGUGUACAUUCUUAAAACUGAAAAAGCACUCUUCAAACAUAAGGGUUUUUCUCUUUCCAUCUUAGAUACAUGUGAUGUCUUCUAUAUGGAUUAGAAGGAGCUAGUGAGCAGGACUCUUUGGGAUAAUUUCAGGUUUCUAGAAGGUUAUAAAGCAGCAAACUAUAGCAAAAUAUUUCCUCUCAUAACCGACUAAAGUGUCAAAAUGCCAAGGGAAAACUGUUAAGGACCUGUUCCUUAGAAUAAGCUUCAUUAGGCUAACACUGAUGUUAGUAAAAUAGCCCUGCAUUUCUAUUUAUUAAAGUAAGUUAUUUUAUUUUCUCUGUAUAUAGAAGACACACCAAUUCCUACACAACUAAAUGCUGCACUAUGUGGGCUCAGUAUUUCAAGGAAAGUAUGAUGUGACCAGAGGAAAUUCUGACCAUUUCUCAAUCUAAGUGUAAGGCUUUAGUAACGAAGAGACAUCUUGGUUAUCUAACCUAACCCUUGAAUUUCCCACUCACUGUGAAUUAUAUGCACAAAAUUUCAAAAGAGCCUUGACUUCUCCACAUAUAGUUUGAGGACCUGUAUUAAUAGAAUCCAGUGCAGAAGUCACUACCCGGGAUAGGUUGAGAUUGGAUAGGGUGGAGACUCUGUUUCCUCUUUUUAUAGCCUUUCCAAAUACAACACUGUUAAUCUAGUUCUUCUCAAAUUUUGUUCAGCAAGCCAAGCACAAAGAACACUUUGUCUUUUGACCAUUACUUUCUGUCCUGUACUUGAAUCUUUAAAAAUAUUCCUUAACAAAAAACUUCAUUCAUUCUUGAUUUGACAAGUAAUUCAUGAUUAUUAUCCGUGAGUGGACCAUACAAAAUGAUUUAAAUCAAAAUAUGAACCAAGAGGUUGCCCAGUUAGAGAACAUGGUGCUUCAAAAUGAAUACUUGUCAAGAACAGUCUAGGUCCUUCAGCCCGCCCACUGGGCUGUACCUCAGUGACUCUGUCAUUCUUGGAGGACAAUAUAAAAAGCGUACUGAUACUUAUCCACCCAUAUGCUAAGGAUCAGUAAAAAUAUGGUUGACUAAGAAGGAAGCUACAGCUUUGCUCUUAUUCAUAUUUUACCAUCUACAUGAGGCAUAGAUGUGAACAGGGCAAGAAGUUUCAUGUUGAAGUCAACAUUUCACACCCAUCUGCAAGACUCAAGAUCCCCACCCAGGUUUUUCUUCAUCUGUCUCUCAAAUCUAGUCCAGAAAAUGUCAAAAGCACAAAUAUGAUAUAGAAGAUGCAAGAUUUUAAACAGAAUGAGCUUGAAUGUCAUAUCACAAGUACUCAAAGUGAGGAGUUGUAGGAGAGCAAUUUCUUUAUCACCCAUUAGAUAAUUACACUACAUGAAAAUGAGUGAUCAAUUAUGAGCUACUGUCUUAAAAGCAUGGUAGGGAGAGUGGGAGGGAGGUUAAAAAUGGUGAAGGCUUGACAGUGACUAAUGUUCCUGGCAGCUUAGUGUCUAUAUUUCAAACUUGAGAGGGGAAGGGGAAAAAAAGAUUAUUCUUGCUAUAACUCCCUUCUAUAAUUCAAAAGAUAUGAGUGUAACCAGUCUGGACAUACGAGGCUGGACAUAGCACGAGGGACAUGCUGAGGCCCUGGCUAGAUGACAGAGUAGAUCCUGGACACCCAGCAGGAGACACACAGCAAAGGCAACACCAAGUGCCAUGGGAGGGAGGGGUUUUCCAAAGAAGGAGAGAGCACCCCUUGGUAAGGGAAAAUGAGACACUGCUUGGAAGGAAGAAUGGGCAUUUGGACAGAGGAGGUGUUGAAAGUGAAGACUGCAUUUGAGUACUGCUGUCCUGGGGUGGUGCUUGAUGUACAGAAACAGUCAUUUGAAAGAAUAUUCCUCUCUUGAAUCUCUAAGGUAAGUGUACAAAUGUUCACUAUAUGUCCUUUCCUUUUUUAAUCCACCCAGAUUUUUUUAAAAAGAUUUAUUUAUUUAUGCAUACAAGAACUGGGGUACAGGCCAGAGCUGUGUGUGUGGGGGCAAGAGUCAUCAGAGACAGAGUGGGGAGGUGAACAGGCAAAUCUACUGAAAUAU